rnacentral:pre_miRNA from 1 species
AAAAACUGAAUUGUUUGGUUUCCAUGCUCAACGUUUAACCGUCCAUUUUAUAUAAAAUUAUUUUAUGAUUAAUAUUUUUAUUAUUGUUAGAUGAUAAAGCACGAAUAAUACUUUAUGUAUGACUUAUCUUUUUAAAUUUUUUCAUAUUUUUUUAAAUAAGACAAACGGUCAAACGUUAGACACGGAAAUCCAGGAAUUGAGUUUUU